GAUGAACGCUGGCGGCGUGCCUAAUACAUGCAAGUCGAACGAAACUUCUUUAUCACCGAGUGCUUGCACUCACCGAUAAAGAGUUGAGUGGCGAACGGGUGAGUAACACGUGGGCAACCUGCCCAAAAGAGGGGGAUAACACUUGGAAACAGGUGCUAAUACCGCAUAACCAUAGUUACCGCAUGGUAACUAUGUAAAAGGUGGCUAUACUACCGCUUUUGGAUGGGCCCGCGGCGCAUUAGCUAGUUGGUAGGGUAAAGGCUUACCAAGGCAAUGAUGCGUAGCCGAAUUGAGAGGUUGAUCGGCCACAUUGGGACUGAGACACGGCCCAAACUCCUACGGGAGGCAGCAGUAGGGAAUCUUCCACAAUGGGCGAAAGCCUGAUGGAGCAACGCCGCGUGGGUGAAGAAGGUCUUCGGAUCGUAAAACCCUGUUGUUAGAGAAGAAAGUGCGUGAGAGUAACUGUUCACGUUUCGACGGUAUCUAACCAGAAAGCCACGGCUAACUGCGUG
rnacentral:rRNA from 1 species